rnacentral:rRNA from 1 species
UGCAGUCGAGGGGCAGCAUCAUCAAAGCUUGCUUUGAUGGAUGGCGACCGGCGCACGGGUGAGUAACACGUAUCCAACCUGCCGACAACACUGGGAUAGCCUUUCGAAAGAAAGAUUAAUACCGGAUGGCAUAGUUUUCCCGCAUGGGUUGACUAUUAAAGAAUUUCGGUUGUCGAUGGGGAUGCGUUCCAUUAGGCAGUUGGCGGGGUAACGGCCCACCAAACCGACGAUGGAUAGGGGUUCUGAGAGGAAGGUCCCCCACAUUGGAACUGAGACACGGUCCAAACUCCUACGGGAGGCAGCAGUGAGGAAUAUUGGUCAAUGGACGAGAGUCUGAACCAGCCAAGUAGCGUGAAGGAUGACUGCCCUAUGGGUUGUAAACUUCUUUUAUACGGGAAUAAAGUUAGCCACGUGUGGCUUUUUGUAUGUACCGUAUGAAUAAGGAUCGGCUAACUCCGUGCCAGCAGCCGCGGUAAUACGGAGGAUCCGAGCGUUAUCCGGAUUUAUUGGGUUUAAAGGGAGCGUAGGCGGGUUGUUAAGUCAGUUGUGAAAGUUUGCGGCUCAACCGUAAAAUUGCAGUUGAUACUGGCGACCUUGAGUGCAACAGAGGUAGGCGGAAUUCGUGGUGUAGCGGUGAAAUGCUUAGAUAUCACGAAGAACUCCGAUUGCGAAGGCAGCUUACUGGAUUGUAACUGACGCUGAUGCUCGAAAGUGUGGGUAUCAAACAGGAUUAGAUACCCUGGUAGUCCACACAGUAAACGAUGAAUACUCGCUGUUGGCGAUAUACAGUCAGCGGCCAAGCGAAAGCAUUAAGUAUUCCACCUGGGGAGUACGCCGGCAACGGUGAAACUCAAAGGAAUUGACGGGGGCCCGCACAAGCGGAGGAACAUGUGGUUUAAUUCGAUGAUACGCGAGGAACCUUACCCGGGCUUAAAUUGCAACUGACGGAACCGGAAACGGUUCUUUCUUCGGACAGUUGUGAAGGUGCUGCAUGGUUGUCGUCAGCUCGUGCCGUGAGGUGUCGGCUUAAGUGCCAUAACGAGCGCAACCCUUAUCGAUAGUUACUAGCAGGUCAUGCUGAGGACUCUAUUGAGACUGCCGUCGUAAGAUGUGAGGAAGGUGGGGAUGACGUCAAAUCAGCACGGCCCUUACGUCCGGGGCUACACACGUGUUACAAUGGGGGGUACAGAAGGCAGCUACACGGCGACGUGGUGCUAAUCCCGAAAGCCUCUCUCAGUUCGGAUUGGAGUCUGCAACCCGACUCCAUGAAGCUGGAUUCGCUAGUAAUCGCGCAUCAGCCACGGCGCGGUGAAUACGUUCCCGGGCCUUGUACACACCGCCCGUCAAGCCAUGAAAGCCGGGGGUACCUGAAGUACGUAACCGCGAGGAGCG